rfam:Ipomoea nil DNA, scaffold: scaffold3069, cultivar: Tokyo-kokei standard.
UGCGAUGAUGAGCAUAUAAUAAUCUCGUUAAUCUGAUUGAUUGCUGAGGAUAAUAUCUCCAAUCCAUUCUAAUUCACUGAGC